UCCUGUUCUUGCAGGCAGUUACUAAGAAGUUUGGGAGCAGUACUUUCCGGAGUUCUCUGGAAAAUGGAGUUCAGUUGUGUGAUCUGAUCAACAAGAUCUGGCAUCAUUAAGAAACUAAACAGACUAUCCACACCUCUUGCUGGCCUGGUGGACACAUAUUCUUUGCCGGCAGGACAACCUCACCCUCUUCCUAAAAGUCUGUGUCAAGCUUGGACUAAAAGAGGCCCAGCUUUUCCACCCAGGAGACCUGCAAGACUUAUCCACACGUGUAACUGUCA